AAAUUUGUGCUAGCAUUAGCCUCUUCCAAAUGACUAAUUCUGCCCUUCGUGAAAUUGAGUUACUAUUAGCCUCUAUGUACACUUUAGACUUUUUACUUAUCCUUGGAUCAUCCAUCCCUAAACGGGUCAAACCCAUGUCCAUUUCAGUUUUUUUGGUGCUUAUGAUGGAUUAUCCAUGUCCUUGCGGGUUUCAACUGAUUUCUCUCCUCACACGAUUAUUAUCUUCUCAUCAGUUUGAAUUUCAAAUUUCUUGAUUCAUGGAGGCCUGAUUUGAUACCUUUCACUUUUAUCGUCGGUUGCAGCACAUUCCGGUGGCUUCUCUGAUCAAUCACAGGUCCCUGCGGGCUUCUUCACCGACAUGUCCGGUUGGUUUUCUGCCUUCCAAUAUAAUCCACAGUUCACAUCUAUGAAUCAUGAAUCUGGGAAAAAGAGAAGUUACAGAAUUGUUGAAAAGCGAAGGUGCAGAAAUUAUUAAUUGUCAACCUACUUCAUCUCCUCCUUUAUGAUAUAAUAAUAUUAUCAUUAUUAUGAAUGUUGAUUGCUAAAUUUUCUUCCGUUUAUAAUUUGAUAUACAUUAUUCCAUCUUACUGUUUGAUAAAAUGCUGCAAUGAAGAAGUUUACUUCCGCAUUCAAAAUAUCUUCGAAUAUAUGUGCUCGAUCAGAUUCUAUUAGCAGGUAUACAUGUUUGUUUCUCAAUAUUUUUUCUUCACUAAAUUAUUCACGGUCUUAAGUGUUUGUAUCCCUGAGCUUUCUUGCGAUUGAUGUUUCAAUGAGAUAUUAUAUGUUUUGUUUUCCUGAGGUAAUCUAUGAUACAGUAUAAUGUGGCAUUCUGGCUUAGUGUUUGUUCAUGUAUAGAUAUUAUUCGGUGUUAAUGGAUGCCCCAGGUCAAUUAAACUAUGGAUAAUUGCUUAUUGUUUGAUCACAAGAUCCGGACGGAAGAGGAUAGUGCUUGGACCUUAAUGAGAGAAAGAAAGGGAUGGAAGGAGAAGAAACAUGAUCUCCCUCGCUUUGCUGUUGUAGCAUUCUGCAAUAUUUCAGGACAAAAGUUGUUGGUGCUGGAGGAGGAGGUUCAACUGAAGUAAAUAUAUGAUUAAAAGUACAUGAAGGUGUUCCAAUCCCAACUUACUUUGACAUUGACAUGCAAGCGAGAGACACAUUUACUGAUGAAGUAUGUCUCGGUGAUCCAACUCCAAGCAAGGAAUCUGGUGUAGCUCGCACUAAUGUCUCCGCUGAUGCUGAUACCCAAGCAAAUGUGAUGAAGGCUACAACAGUGAAGCUCGAGAAAAUUACUUCAGGGAGCAUUACAGAUCAGUCAUAUGAAUCAUAUGAGAGUAAGACACCUGGGAAGUUUAAUGCCCUGCAUAUAGUAUUUCAAUCAUUGGGACCUAUAGACAGAAGUAAAAUGCUCAGCAGAGUAAACACAUUGACAGAGCAAAAUGAGGCCUGACUACUGUGAAGGAAAUGGUCAAUUAUAAGCAGUGCAUUUAGUCAGCUAGAAUGUAAGGUUGCGAAGAUUUGUAAAUCAUCUAUUUCUUUUCUUAAACAUUUGGAUUCUUGCAUUUCAAUAUCUGUAAUGAUAUUACUUCAUGUUUCA